rnacentral:rRNA from 1 species
AACGAACGCUGGCGGCGUGUUUAAGACAUGCAAGUCGUACGGGGAAUUUGAAUAGCUUGCUAAUUGAAUUCCUAGUGGCGCACGGGUGAGUAACACGUGAGUUACAUGCCCUGCAGAGGGGGAUAGCCCGCCGAAAGGCGGAUUAAUACCCCAUGGUCCCGCAAGGGUAAAGGGGGCUUCGGCUCCCGCUGCAGGAUUGGCUCGCGUCCUAUCAGCUUGUUGGUAAGGUAACGGCUUACCAAGGCAACGACGGGUAGCUGGUCUGAGAGGACGAUCAGUCACACUGGAACUGAGACACGGUCCAGACACCUACGGGUGGCAGCAGUCGAGAAUAAUUCACAAUGGGGGCAACCCUGAUGGUGCAACGCCGCGUGGAGGAUGAAGGCCCUAGGGUCGUAAACUCCUGUCAUUUGAGAGUAAGACCUGGCGGUCAAUAGCCGACAGGGUUGAUAGUAUCAAAAGAGGAAGGGACGGCUAACUUCGUGCCAGCCGCCGCCGUAACAC